GUCGAGAAUAAUUCACAAUGGACGAAAGUCUGAUGGUGCAACGCCGCGUGGAGGAUGAAGGUCUUCGGAUUGUAAACUCCUGUCAUCGGGGAGUAAGACCUGGCGGUAAAUAGCCGACAGGGUUGAUAGUACCCGAAGAGGAAGGGACGGCUAACUUCGUGCCAGCAGCCGCGGUAAUACGAAGGUCCCAAGCGUUGUUCGGAAUCACUGGGCGUAAAGGGAGCGUAGGCGGCGUGGUAAGUCAGAUGUGAAAUCGCGGGGCUCAACCCCGGAACUGCAUCCGAUACUGCCAUGCUUGAGGGUUGGAGAGGUAGCUGGAAUUCUCGGUGUAGCAGUGAAAUGCGUGGAUAUCGAGAGGAACACUCGUGGCGAAGGCGAGCUACUGGACAACAUCUGACGCUGAGGCUCGAAGGCCAGGGGAGCAAAAGGGAUUAGAUACCCUUGUAGUCC
rnacentral:rRNA from 1 species